rnacentral:lncRNA from 1 species
UGCCAUAUCUUCAAUACCUUCUGCAUUUACCUUUUCAUGAAACGGACAAAUCUCAUUUUCGCUGUUUUUGUUUAAAGGAUCUUCGAGCUAAAGAGAUGGAACUCCAAGCGAAGGAGAACGAAUUGAAGCGGAAAGAGCAGGUAAUUUCUGGUAAUCCAAGCAAAUCUCGAGACCUAAACAUUCCAUAUGCAUUGUAUUAAACGGUCUUCUUCUUCUCACUGUAAUGCAGGAGCUUAAAAGAAGAGAAGAUGCAAUAGCGCGAUGUAGAUAAUCUUAUAUAUAUAUAUAUAUCUGUUUUUUUUUUAAACAUCUUCGAAUGAUCUUUAUAGGUCUUUUAGCUAACCUGAUAUACGGUUGUUUUGGCAGCUGGAGUUGUCAUUGAGGAGAAGAAUUGGCCCGAGUUUUUCCCUCUAAU